rnacentral:rRNA from 1 species
AUGCAACGCGAAAAACCUUACCUACCUUUGACAUGUACGGAAUUCGCCAGAGAUGGCUUAGUGCUCGAAAGAGAACCGUAACACAGGUGCUGCAUGGCUGUCGUCAGCUCGUGUCGUGAGAUGUUGGGUUAAGUCCCGCAACGAGCGCAACCCUUGUCAUUAGUUGCUACAUUUAGUUGGGCACUCUAAUGAGACUGCCGGUGACAAACCGGAGGAAGGUGGGGAUGACGUCAAGUCCUCAUGGCCCUUAUAGGUAGGGCUACACACGUCAUACAAUGGAUGGUACAAAGGGUCGCCAACCCGCGAGGGGGAGCCAAUCCCAUAAAACCAUUCGUAGUCCGGAUCGCAGUCUGCAACUCGACUG